rnacentral:lncRNA from 1 species
AUGAAAACAUCUCAGGAGAGCAACUGUGCAUCUUGCAAUGCAAGAAAAAAACAAAAUGAAACAAAACAAAACAAAAAAACACAGGGCUCAUCCAUGCCGUUGUCCUUCCACAAAUACAAAGUGAAAGAGACAGACUUUUUAGAAAAACAGACCAACCUGAUGCAGCAGGACUUCUAUAACCAGAUGAGAGGCAGGUCCAGUCGCAGUCACAUCACAAGGACUUUCACUGAGGAACACCAAGACUGCUCUGUGUUCUACCCGUCACCAAUGCUACGGAUCUGUAUGCAGACACAAGCUAAAUAUUAUCCACCUGCACUAGCACAGCAACCUUUUUGAUUAAAAAUAAUAAUAAUAAUAAUUUUGUUUUUAUUGUUGAGAUUUUUUUUCCCCACUUAAUUUACUUUCCUUUCUAAUCAAUGCUAUUACAUCUAAUUCCAAAUGUAGCCUGACACUUUUUGAGGUUUUGUAGAGCAUUAAGGCUAUAAAUACAGAAAAUAAGAUCUUGACUUAUCUCUGCCAAACUGGCCAUUCUCCAAAAAAAUCCCAGUAUGAGUGCUUCCACACUCCUAGGUUUUGCUUUUACUGUUUUCACCAUUACCACAUAUGUAUACACACAUUGUCUAAAUCUGAAAGGAGAAUGUGAAAUCUCUGAAAGGAGAGGGAAAACUCAAUGAAAAUUUGAAGAUGAACAAAAAGCCCAGCACAAAGAAAAUUGUUAAUUCUUAAACUUCGGGAAACGAAUGUUCCUCCUAUGUUUACUUUAAUAAAAAAACAGGAUUAGCAGUUCCUUCA